UCUAUAGGAUUGAUUUUUCCCAAAUCUGCCCAUGAAGUGGCCAUUUAUAGACCCAAGGAAGCCUCUGAUGCCCGACACUGGGACAAUGGGACUGUUCUGGAGCAGUGCCAACCACAAAUGAUGUGCCAGUCCAUCUUCCUGGCUUUGAGGGCAAAGAGGAGAGUCAUGCAUCUUGAAGAGAGGGAGAGAACACGGCCAGGAUCCAACAUGCUGGGUAUGACAAUCACUCAAUGAAUCAGUGGUAUUUAUUGAGUGCUUGCUAUGUGCAGAAGACUGUACUAAGCACUUGGGAGAGUAUAGUAUAACAGAGUUCAUUAAUUCAUUCAUUCAAUAGUAUUUACUGAGUGCUUACUAAGUGCAGAGCACUGUACUAAGCACUUGGAAUGUACAAUUCGGCAAAGAGAUACAUUCCAAAGAGACAAAGUUUGUAGCACAUUCACUGCCCACAGUGAGCUUACAGUCCAGAGGGCGAUACAGAUAUUAAUUUAGAAACAACGUGGCUUAAGAGAUAGAACACAGGCCUAGAAGUCACUAGGACCUGGGUUCUCCUCCCGCCUCUGCCUCAUGACUGUUGUGUUACCUUGGGCAAGGAACUUCACUUCUCUGUGCCUCAGUUAUCUGUAAAAUGGGGAUUAGGAGUAUGAGCCA
rnacentral:lncRNA from 1 species